CUACGGGGGGCACCAGGCGCGAAACCUCUACAAUGCACGAAAGUGUGAUAGGGGAACCCCAAGUGCUCAUGCUCUGCAUGGGCUUUUGCCAAAUGUAAAAAGUUUGGCGAAUAAGUGGUGGGUAAGACUGGUGCCAGCCGCCGCGGUAACACCAGCGCCACGAGUGGCAAUCAUAUUUAUUGGGCCUAAAGCGUCCGUAGCCGGCCUGUUAAAUUCUUUGUGAAAUUGUUUAGCUUAACUAAACAGCGUGCAGAGAAAACUGGCAGACUUGGGACCGGGAGGGGUUAGAGGUAUUCCUUGGGUAGCGGUAAAAUGCUAUAAUCCUUGGAGGACCACCUGUGGCGAAGGCGUCUAACCAGAACGGAUCCGACGGUGAGGGACGAAAGCUAGGGGAGCAAUCCGGAUUAGAUACCCCAGUAGUC
rnacentral:rRNA from 1 species